rnacentral:rRNA from 1 species
CGGUAAUUCCAGCUCCAAUAGCGUAUAUUAAAGUUGUUGCAGUUAAAAAGCUCGUAGUUGAACCUUGGGCUUGGUUGGCCGGUCCGCCUUUUUGGCGAGUACUGGACCCAACCGAGCCUUUCCUUCUGGCUAACCUUUCGCCCUUGUGGUGUUUGGCGAACCAGGACUUUUACUUUGAAAAAAUUAGAGUGUUCAAAGCAGGCCUUUGCUCGAAUAUAUUAGCAUGGAAUAAUAGAAUAGGACGUUAUGGUUCUAUUUUGUUGGUUUCUAGGACCAUCGUAAUGAUUAAUAGGGACGGUCGGGGGCAUCAGUAUUCAGUUGUCAGAGGUGAAAUUCUUGGAUUUACUGAAGACUAACUACUGCGAAAGCAUUUGCCAAGGACGUUUUCAUUAAUCAAGAACGAAAGUUAGGGGAUCGAAGAUGAUCAGAUACCGUCGUAGUCUUAACCAUAAACUAUGCCGACUAGGGAUCGGGAGUUGUUCUUUUUUUGACGCACUCGGCACCUUACGAGAAAUCAAAGUCUAUGGGUUCUGGGGGGAGUAUGGUCGCAAGGCUGAAACUUAAAGGAAUUGACGGAAGGGCACCACCAGGAGUGGAGCCUGCGGCUUAAUUUGACUCAACACGGGGAAACUCACCAGGUCCAGACACAAUAAGGAUUGACAGAUUGAGAGCUCUUUCUUGAUUUUGUGGGUGGUGGUGCAUGGCCGUUCUUAGUUGGUGGAGUGAUUUGUCUGCUUAAUUGCGAUAACGAACGAGACCUUAACCUACUAAAUAGUGCUGCUAGCUUUUGCUGGUAUAGUCACUUCUUAGAGGGACUAUCGAUUUCAAGUCGAUGGAAGUUUGAGGCAACGNCAGGUCUGUGAUGCCCUUAGACGUUCUGGGCCGCACGCGCGCUACACUGACGGAGCCAGCGAGUAUUAACCUUGGCCG